UUAAACUCAAAGUCCAGAUACAUCUUAAUGAUUGCAGAUGAUAGGAUACAAAAAUAGAAUUGGGAAUACGGCCAGAAAAAAUCAGUAAAAUGGGAUUCGUUAAUGGCUAGAAAAUGAGAAACACAACGUUGCACCACGUUCAACAUUUCUUGCUGAUAUACUGCAUCUGUCAGUUUAAGUUUCAAUGCUGUUUUCCGUAAUAACAACUCCAAGGCAUCGAUUUGUAAAAACAAUGAUAAAGAUCCAGGUUGGUUCUCUCUUAAAUUACAGCUACAUGAAAAUUCUUCCAGACUAAUCAGAUAUUUUGAUAUCUUUUGAGCCACAGUACGCCGAUUUUUCGACAUUGUCAUAACCGCUCGAGCGUUGAAAAGAUGUUGUAAUACAUUUUGAAGCAAAAUACUUAGUUCCGCCAUUUUAACAAAUACAUUGAAUGAGUCGGCAAUCCUUUGCUCCCCAGCCAAUAGCUGGUUGUCCGUUAAUGGUGGUACUAAGUAGUCAUCUUGACGAAUGCUUGCAUUGAUCCCAAUAUACAUCGAAAGCCAUUUUUCGUUAACAAAAAGGGCCCACCACACUCGAUUACGCAAGAUUUUUUCUUCCUUUGGAAUCUGCCAUUCAGAGCAAUCCAAAUGGAACCCGAGAAUUUGCGCUAAAGCAAUCGCUCUAGUCAAAAUGCUCCAGUUUCCAGCUACGUUAAUCCAUGGUCUUCCCGUUAAAAAAAUAAUCGCCGCUUGUAGCGUACUUAAUCGAGAGAGAGAAAAGGAAAGAUCCAAGAAAUCCUCAGUAAGAUCCCAUAAUUUUUUUGCAUCCAAGCGAGGAUAAUUUCUUAACUCUUUAUCCGCAUCCCAAUAAAUAAUUGAGGAAGCAUACAUCGCAGUUAAAAGGAUAGGGGACAGUUUGUGUUUUGCCUUUUUGAAGGCGAGGAGAAAUCUUUCGCCAUGAAUAACAGGGUAUACGCGAUGAAUGUACCGGAAGUAAAGGCCAAUCAAUCGUUCGCCGACUUCUGGGGAUACUGUGGCUUCAACCACUUGAAAUAUUUGCUGAAGUUUUUCAUAACGAGCAAUUUGUUUGUGCGGCUCAUAAGCUGGAUCAACCAUGUACAUAACUGGAGUUUUUGGGUUUGCAGAAACAUAACGAAUGUGCAUAUUACUAAAUGUAUAGGUUCCCUCUUUAGGUAUAAAGUACUGCCUUAUCAAAUCGACGUCAGAAUCAGAUGUUGGGUUCAAAAUAUAAGCAUAUGACAAAGAAUCGUCAAAACCAAGAAAAUCCGUUUGGUCAUCAACUGAUGAACCUUGACUAAUUAGAGAAUCAUUCUCAUCCAACACAGUUGAGCUGUUUAGACUUGAGGGAGGUGGGGCAGCUUCGGAAACUCUCUCAACCUUGGUAGAUGAGUAUUUCUUUAAAAACUCCUCAUAUGAAAGGUCGGAUAACUUUGCAUGCUCCUGUCCAGGUUCGGAUUUUGGAAAAGUGGUUUCUUUAACAAUGGGUUGUGGUUGUGUGAAAGACUUUUUAAAUCUAAAAUUUUCCUCAUUCUGAGUUAUAGAGGGAAACUGCUGCAUGGAUUGUGCUGAGCUACCAGCCAAUGCGGAAGGCAUUGAUUCAUGUCGAAUUGUCCAGUGACUACUUUCCUGACUAUGUGAAGGAAUUAAAGGAUUGUUAUUAGUACCAAUAGGCAAAGUACCAUCAGACUUUACAUCUUGCGAGGCAACCGAAGGCUUUUUCGAUUCAAGGCUAGAAGAACGAGAGUGCGGUGGCAAGUUAGGAUAAGGACUUGAACAAAACAAAGAAACAGGAUCCAUAAAGCUUGAGGAAGAAAACUCAUGGAAAUGGAUCAAGCAAGUUCCCAAGCUGCAGGGAAUACAUAGAUUCGGUUGAGCCUGAGACUCUGGCUGCGAAGGAGAUGAACUUUGGUCCAUUUACGAAUCAAUACAUAAAAUCGUAGUUACACGACCCAAGUAAAAGGAUGACAGUAUCACCUCAUUAGGGAGCACACCAAAACGGGAUGUGUUACAAGAACAAGGCGAUUUUGAAGUGAGAUGGGCGGUAGCGAAGCAUGGAUGGUGUUUAUCGUCUAGCUUUAACUUUAAGUACAUUAAGGUUAGCGAGAUUAACCGUCCAUAUGUUUAUGAAUGGUCUUAUUAUUAAAGCACCAUCGCUUUUUUUAAGACUAUUUACGUUGGGUUCAAAAUCUUUAUUGUAAAAAUAUUGAUGGGCAUUAAAUAAUUUGCAAUUAUGAUUGAAUAAGAACAUAAAUAUACAAUGAAACAGAGUACAACGAAUGAAUUUGCUGAUAUAAAUUAGACUUUUAUGAUCGGAUGCAGAAUAGCUUGUAUUCAAUUGAUUUUUUAUUUGAAGCAAAUAGAAGGAAAAGUUCUCGCAAUUUAUUUCAAAAAAAAAAUAGUAUUAUUUGACCAAAAUGGGUCCUUGCGUUUACGAACUCUGAUGUAGUCACCAACUAUCAAAAUUACCAUUUAACAAUUCUUUUUGCUUUUAAGAGUGUUGGCUUGACGAAUGGAUUAAUUUCAAUUUACUCAUAAUAUUUUGCUUUUAGGCGUUAGAGAAUUAUUUUAACUCAGUAAAUGACACUUAGUAUAUCUCACGGAAUACUUUCUUUUGCUUAUAUCUUUCAGGAUUUUGUUUUUUUUAGUUUUACUUGAAUAAAUGUUAAAUUUUUGAUACGAA